rnacentral:tRNA from 7 species
GCGCCUGUGGUAUAGUGGUAUUACCUCAGCCUUCCAAGCUGAAGAGGCGGGUUCGAUUCCCGUCGGGCGCU